rnacentral:rRNA from 1 species
UACGUAGGGGGCUAGCGUUGUCCGGAAUCAUUGGGCGUAAAGAGCGUGUAGGCGGCCCGAUAAGUCCGCUGUGAAAGUCCAGGGCUCAACCCUGGGAUGCCGGUGGAUACUGUCGGGCUCGAGUCCGGAAGAGGAGUGUGGAAUUCCUGGUGUAGCGGUGAAAUGCGCAGAUAUCAGGAGGAACACCGAUGGCGAAGGCAGCACUCUGGGACGUGACUGACGCUGAGACGCGAAAGCGUGGGGAGCAAACAGG